rnacentral:ncRNA from 1 species
GGUGGCUGUUUACCUAAAAAAAACAUAUGUCUCCGCGCAAAGUCGCAAGAUCAUGUAUGGGAACUGAUACUUGCCCAGUACCGGAAAGUCAAGAAAGUUAAAAGAACUGAUGACAGAAAAGUCGGCGACUGAAGCCCCGGUGAACGGUGGUCCUAAGGUAGCGAAAUUCCUUGUCGGGUAAGUUCUGACCCACACAAAAGGUGUAACGAUU